rnacentral:tRNA from 3 species
CGGGGCGUGGCGCAGUAUGGUUCAGCGCGCUUGCCUUGGGCGCAAGAGGCCGCUGGUUCAAAUCCAGUCGCCCCGACCA